rnacentral:misc_RNA from 1 species
GAUGAAGAACGUAGCGAAAUGCGAUACGUAAUGUGAAUUGCAAAUUCAGUGAAUCAUCGAGUCUUUGAACGCACAUUGCGCCCGCCAGUAUUCUGGCGGGCAUGCCUGUUCGAGCGUCAUUACAACCCUCAGGCCCCCGGGCCUGGCGUUGGGGAUCGGCGGAAGCCCCCUGCGGGCACAACGCCGUCCCCCAAAUACAGUGGCGGUCCCGCCGCAGCUUCCAUUGCGUAGUAGCUAACACCUCGCAACUGGAGAGCGGCGCGGCCACGCCGUAAAACACCCAACUUCUGAAUGUUGACCUCGAAUCAGGUAGGAAUACCCGCUGAACUUAAGCAUAUCAAUAAGCGGAGGA